rnacentral:lncRNA from 1 species
UGGGUACAUAGUCAUUGUCAUUUUCGGCGCUUAUAAAAGCGACCGACAUGUUUCAGUCGUAUGCCUGUAUCCAUGUCUCUUCUGCGCUUUUUAUUAAAAAAAGAUAUGUAUAGAGUAAUAGUAAUUGAAAUAUUUGACUGCUUCGUCAUGUUUUUGAGAAUUAUAUGAAAUAUGUAGUUUUGUAUCUUUUUGAAUUUGUUGCUCAUAUUUCAGUACUAUUAUGCUCUGCAGAUCGAGAUUCUCUGACAUGGCUACAUGAUAAACAACUUCCACUAUAUCAGUUUUAGUAAUAUUGAAUGAUUUUAAAAGAUAUGCUCCAAACAAUUUGUGUCCAUGCUCCCUAUGAACAUAAAACCAUAAAUGUUUUCCCGAUAUGCAUGUUAGAAAAUCAGCAAUAGACUUGUGUAAAAAUGACAUAUAGCCACUUGUAUAUACGAGAAAAUGCCCAAGCUCAUUACCAAUCACGCGUUCCAUAUUUCUUCUAUUUUCUGAUGAAAUGUUUGCAACUUCAAAAAUCUCAUCCUCCGUCAUUGGUUUGGUCAUAGUACAUAAAACCUCAACUAUUGGUCUCAAUUCUUCAUAUAGACUAUAUUUACCCUCAAAAGCUCUCUCAAAAUUCAUCCGAUAAUUUUUUUCCAAUGAAGAUGGCAUAUAUGUAAAAUCGCAGUCAUUAAAUUUUUGACAGGAUUGAAGAUAGUACUUAACGUGGAGAAAAUUUCCUUUAGCAACACUUGUCAGGAGGUGAAUUUGUGCCUCUGUUAGAAGACUUGCUUGUCGAAUGUAUUGUGCGG